UACGAAGGGGGCUAGCGUUGUUCGGAAUCACUGGGCGUAAAGCGCACGUAGGCGGAUUUUUAAGUCAGGGGUGAAAUCCCGGGGCUCAACCUCGGAACUGCCUUUGAUACUGGAGAUCUUGAGUCCGGAAGAGGUAAGUGGAACUGCGAGUGUAGAGGUGAAAUUCGUAGAUAUUCGCAAGAACACCAGUGGCGAAGGCGGCUCACUGGCCCGAUACUGACGCUGAGGCACGAAAGCGUGGGGAGCAAACAGG
rnacentral:rRNA from 1 species